rnacentral:rRNA from 1 species
UACGUAGGGGGCUAGCGUUGUCCGGAAUCACUGGGCGUAAAGGGUGCGUAGGCGGGUCUUUAAGUCAGGGGUGAAAUCCUGGAGCUCAACUCCAGAACUGCCUUUGAUACUGAGGAUCUUGAGUUCGGGAGAGGUGAGUGGAACUGCGAGUGUAGAGGUGAAAUUCGUAGAUAUUCGCAAGAACACCAGUGGCGAAGGCGGCUCACUGGCCCGAUACUGACGCUGAGGUGCGAAAGCGUGGGAGCAAACAGG